rnacentral:rRNA from 1 species
UGAGUAACCUGCCCUUAACUCUGGGAUAAGCCUGGGAAACUGGGUCUAAUACCGGAUAUGACUCCUCAUCGCAUGGUGGGGGGUGGAAAGCUUUAUUGUGGUUUUGGAUGGACUCGCGGCCUAUCAGCUUGUUGGUGAGGUAAUGGCUCACCAAGGCGACGACGGGUAGCCGGCCUGAGGAGGGUGACCGGCCACACUGGGACUGAGACACGGCCCAGACCUCCGUACGGGAGCAG